UACGUAGGGCGCAAGCGUUGUCCGGAAUUAUUGGGCGUAAAGGGCUCGUAGGCGGUCCAUCGCGUCGGGAGUGAAAAGCUGGGGCUUAACCCCAGUCCUGCUUCCGAUACGGGUGGACUAGAGGUAGGUAGGGGAGAACGGAAUUCCUGGUGUAGCGGUGAAAUGCGCAGAUAUCAGGAAGAACACCCGUGGCGAAGGCGGCUCUCUGGGACGGUACUGACGCUGAGACGCGAAAGCGUGGGGGAGCGAACAGG
rnacentral:rRNA from 1 species